rnacentral:rRNA from 1 species
UACGGGGGAUGCAAGCGUUAUCCGGAAUUAUUGGGCGUAAAGGGUCCUGAGGUGGCUAGCCAAGUCUAUUGUGAAAUAUCAGGGCUUAACCCUGAACAUGCGGUGGAAACUAGAAAGCUUGAGUACAGUAGGGGCGGAGGGAAUUUCCGGUGGAGCGGUGAAAUGCAUAGAUAUCGGGAAGAACACCAACGGCGAAAGCACUCGUGCUGGGCCGACACUGACACUGAGAGACGAAAGCUAGGGGAGCGAAUGGG